rnacentral:tRNA from 2 species
CCCUUGUUAGCUCAGUUGGUAGAGCGCCUCACCUCUAGUGGAGAGGUCCCGGGUUCGAUACCCGGACCAGGGG